AUAUAUAUUGUGAUGUUUUGCUGAGGUUGUAGAAGUAUGUGUGUGCAGUGUUUUAGUUUGAAAUUACUGCACAUACUGAGUUAUUGGCACUUGUGUGCCGGGGGCCAGUUGCAACCCCAGUACAUGUGACAUUGGAGUUCUGGGCUGCCUAACGUUAAUUCUGUGCAUAUUUUACAACUGUCAUCAGAUUGCACUGCACACUUUUGACAACCAUAGGCAGAGUAUCUACAUAGGGAAAUAACUGUCCCCUCCCUCCCGGUGGGCACUGCCUCACGUGGUUCAAAAAGUGGGAGAACUCCUUCCCACUCUCCCCUCCCUCACCUCCUUGGCCUGGAGGGCACAGGCCAAGAAUUGAGCCAGAGAAUUGGUCCAAUGACAGGCUUCUCUAUGACAAGCCUGUGAUUGGACCGCGGGAGUGCCAACUCGUGUCAUGGCUGGCGUGGGAGAUCAGUGCCAGGAGUUUCAACUUGCGCUGGAUUUAGCUAAUUUAAAACCUUUUUUUGCAAAUUGCAGAAAUUACAGAGAACAAGAACAGUCAGACAAUUUUAGAAAAGCCAAAACAGUAAAUGCAGUAAAUACAGAAACUACAACAGGGCAAAGAGUAGUAACCAGAAUUGUCUUAGAAAGCUCCAGGAGAAUUGUAAUUUGGUGUGUGUUAAUAAUGAAGCCAAAAUGAGUGGGAC